GACGAACGCUGGCGGCGUGCCUAAUACAUGCAAGUAGAACGCACAGUUUAUACCGUAGCUUGCUACACCAUAGACUGUGAGUUGCGAACGGGUGAGUAACGCGUAGGUAACCUGCCUGGUAGCGGGGGAUAACUAUUGGAAACGAUAGCUAAUACCGCAUAAUAUUGAUUAUUGCAUGAUAAUUGAUUGAAAGAUGCUAUUGCAUCACUACCAGAUGGACCUGCGUUGUAUUAGCUAGUAGGUGAGGUAACGGCUCACCUAGGCGACGAUACAUAGCCGACCUGAGAGGGUGAUCGGCCACACUGGGACUGAGACACGGCCCAGACUCCUACGGGAGGCAGCAGUAGGGAAUCUUCGGCAAUAGACGAAAGUCUGACCGAGCAACGCCGCGUGAGUGAAGUAGGUUUUCGGAUCGUAAAGCUCUGUUGUAAGAGAAGAACGGGUGUGAGAGUGGAAAGUUCACACUGUGACGGUAUCUUACCAGAAAGGGACGGCUAACUACGUG
rnacentral:rRNA from 1 species